CUGAAAAAUAUUAGCAUCUUUUAAUUUUACUUUUGCGAAGCCAGCCAGAGGUCAGAGAUUUCAGGUCGUCACAGAAUCAAUCGAUAUUGAUUAAAGGUCAAAGCAAGUACUGAAAACACAGUGUGCACUCCCACCAAACAAAGCACUGUCCUUCCUGUAGCAAAAAGAAAAUGAGAAUAGAGUGAGAUAUAGCAGCUUGUCUCAUCGUUUUCUGCCUUCUAAGCCCCAGCUGCCAACACAGUCCUUGUCCUCUCUGUGCCAGCUCCUCCUGGAUCACUGCAGCCAAUGAGCCCACUAUCUGCUUGGACAUCUCUCAGGAAGAAAACUGGAUAUUUUUUCCUUGUGUUUCAAAAAUCUCAACAGAAGCUGUACUUGUCAAAAGCCUGGACCAGGCUCUGAGGAUCGGUUACAAGGAUAUAUCCAGGAAAAAUACAUAUUCAUAAAAGAUGCAACUUCAAAGAGUACUUCAGAAAAGCUUUUGCGGGAUUUGUAUUUUUCAAAAAGUUUUUUUCUGGGGACCUCUACUUCAAUUUUUCUGCACAUCUUUGAUACCAACACAUACCAGAGCUCUUUACCAAAAGAUGUUAAAAUUUCUUUAGAGGCCUCCUGCUGUUUGUUAAUUCAGUAGCUAUACCACUGAGCAGUUCUUGCAGUCACCACAUUAGGAGCCAUCAGCUGUUGUAAGCAUAAAACCUCAAUUGCCUUUCCUCUGCAAUACAUACAAGCCCAUGAUCCAACACUACAUUGCAGCUCCUGGAGUCACCCAGGGAAAAUUUGCUUCUUCUCUAUGAGAUGAUGAGUGCCAAUUACAGUAGUUUGCUGUCAAUUUUGCCAGUUCCAUUUUGUUCCUCUAUUCCUCAUUUUAAUCCCUUUCUCAGUAAAUCAGAGAUGCACUCCUUUACUCUGGGAUGUUUCUAUAUAAUUCCAUCUAAUACUGGACUUUGUCUUUGAUGCCCUCAGUGUGUACACACUGAAGGCAUCAUAUUCCAUAUGCACAUAUUCCAUUAGGACAGCAGCAUGCCGAGCAGUAAACUGGAUAUAAUCUAGCUCCCAUCUUCAAGCUAAAAUUAAACAGAUUAUUUUACUCUCAUUUAUCAGUUCAUGUUCUGCUGUUUAACUAGGAGCUAUGGCUCUUCUAGUUGUUUUAACACAUUUUAUUGACUGCAAUCCACUAAACCUUCUCCCCCUCAUCAGCAAACACAGACAAGCUCCCCUGUGAUUACACACUGUAUUGUUGUCAGAGGCUUUUCUGAGCUGUUUCACUUUACAAGUUCACUUGUCCUUAGUAAUACAUAAAUAGUUCACAUAUAACUGAAAUAGUUCCCUAAAAGCCAUUCAUCCCCAGAGGAAACUGCUCUUUAAUUGUUUGUUAUGCCCUCUCAGCAAGGAGGCUGAAAUACACCAUACAUGUGCAUCAUUUUAUUUAAAUGACAUCCUACCUUGCUACGAAAGCUGCCAGAGCUAUUUGUUCUUCUUCCACUAAGGCUGCCAACUACAGAAAGCCCCCUGAGAACAAAGCAGCAGAUGAAAAAGAAGUGCCAAUGCUUCAGGCAACUAUUUUAGCCAGAGCUGUACCAGCAACAAUAUGCAGCAGGAAAAAAAUACAUACUUCAAAGAAUUCUCCUCAACCUAAAAAAUAUCACCUACUUUCUGGAGACUGAGAACAAAAACCUAUGUCUUUGGCAUAGUUUUAAAGGACAUGCUAAGCAGAUUCUUCAACAGGAUUACCAAGCAAGAAAAGUCCCCAUCUUCAGGAUCCAAAUCAGGUUUUAAUGGCUGGAGAAAACACUAUCAAAAAAAUAUGGGAGUGUAUUUUUGUGCUUCCUCAUGCAGCUCAGACACUAUCAGUAAAUGUUGGAACUAUUUAUCUCCGUCUUUCAUUUCAGUGUUGAUUGGACGAACUCCUUGCAGCCAACAGCAAGCACAGCACAAUUCUGCUUGGGAGAAAGCUGGCAAGGGCACUGGGUUUUUAAGUGGCUGUUACCAAUUCACAUUGUUAGCACCUGCUGCCAUUGCAGCUUAUCCAAGAGCAGCACUGGCUCAUUGGUUUUCCAGCAUCCUGACUGGAAGAGCCAAAAAAUGUGGCAUGGAUGACAUGCCUAGACAGCAGCUGGAGAAGACCUCAGAGGAGGAUGUGAACCUCACUCACACCAAAGUAACCAAUUCAGAAAGCCAGAAAAAAAAAAAACAAACAACAAACAGAUAAGCAAAGAAAAGCAUACAUGUGUCAGGUAACUCACUCUUGCAACAGCUCCAGUUUUAUAAAUCAAAUACAUUUUGUAUAUUUAUAGACCCAUUUCUUCCUUUGUAGGCCAAUGACAGCCCACAGAGCUCUGCAUAGAUUUGCCAAAAAUAAUUACUCUGGUCACUUAGAAAAGCAGAGGAUCUGUCAUUCAGGCCUAGCAACAGUUCACUUACCCUUCCUCCCUCGCAACAAGCAAACAUCGCCUGCCCUCCCCACUCCCAACUUGUUUGUACUGGCUUUCUGGCUGCUGGCAGAAACAACAGCUCACCUGGGUGUAAAACCAUUUCUGAUGAGAGGACUCUGUGCUAUUCAAGUCCAAGUACAUGUGAGAAGUGUAAUUCAAGAAAAUACUGGCUGCCAAGAAAAGGCACAGGUUCCGUCUGUGAUAAAACUGUCUCACAGUAUGACUGGAUAAAACCCACUCCAAAUAAGAUUGCCAUUGUUGCAGCUCUUGGCAAACUGUGAUGGGAUAUGGUAAAGGAAGAGGAGGAAACAAAACCAAUAAUACCGAACAACUAACUAUAGCACUACCCACAGCCACAGAAAACAGUAUUUUCCUCAAAGGUUUUUCAUUAGCAUAUAUUUUAUUAUUACUGUAGUGUCAUAGAAUUGCAAACUACUUUCUAAUUUUGUUUUAUAUGAAAUUUUUUAAGCAACGAUUUUUGGAAAAGAACUAUACAAUUCCUGCUCCCCCCAUGGAAGCCUUCCUGCUUCUUCCCCACACACAGGCUCACCAUUUGUUUUUUAGUUGAUGGCUGCCGUCAGCACAGAGCUUUUUUCUCUUUUUUCUAAAAGCAGUAUUUUGGACAAUUGUACAAUUCAUGUUGCUAAGAACUAUGUGUAACAUUCAGGAAACAGUUAGGACAUCUUAAAGCUGCAUCCAGAGACUACCAUGACAAAACUUUCGCCCUCUGCUAUACCACCCACCUUUCCACACCAGGGAAGCCUCAGACCUGACAAUUGUCCUUACUCUCAGCAGUGGCACAGCUGUUAAGUAUCAGCUUUUCCAGAGUUGUAUGCACAUCAGUUACAAUCAUCUAGGAUGAUAUUAAUACCUUAUAUUUUCUCUGUGGCACAUCUGUGCUGUUUCAUAAUGCAAAACUUACAUAUAUGCUGUAGCUAUAUUUGGCACUGUUUGGCAUGCAUAUAUAUUAGUAGACACAUUUCAAAAAUAACUUCAAGUUUAGCACUGUUAAAAAAUCCUCAAUCUAAACAUUUUUCUUAGCUAGUCAGAAAUACCCUUUAAAAAAAACAAACCCAAGCCAUAAAGACAUGGAGACUUAUACAUUCUUUUUGAACUGUGCUAGUGCUUAAGACCUAAUCUCCACCCCCCAAAAACGUGAGCUACCAGAUACCAAUCUUUGUUUAAAGUACUGUCAGAUGCCAGUCUUGAAAUAUACAACUCUGAGAUGAAAUUUUAACUUCAGUUGCCUUUGAAUAACUUAAUAGCUAACAUUCAGAUAAUCCAGUAAACAAAGAUUAAAAAAGGAUAAAAUAAAGGAAGAAAUAUUAACAAUCUAUGUAUUAACAUUUCUCUACAGUGAUUACUGGAGAGUUCUUUGAAUAACAGCACAGUGCCUUUAUAGCUGUUUGCUAUUAUGUUUUAUUCUAUGUUCACAUUUUUUUUUAAUUGUUUCAAAUUUUUGGGGAUAUCAUCUAGUCAUUUCAGUAUAGUUGCUGCAUUAUUGCUUGUCAUAUCAUGUUUCAGUUUGAUACAAAAUAUCUUUCCUUAACACUCUUGUCCCUGCUCAUUUGACAGUGAUUUUAUCUUUUGUUUUAAAUGUUAUAAAAACCAACACUCUUGUUCAUGUGCCAGCACCUUCGAUUAUUUCAGCUGCAGUAUGAACAGUUUGGGGAGUAGCAUUGGAUAGUUAGUUCAUGAUGAACAACCUGGAAACUGGAAAGAAUACUUGUUCUUGAACAAAUUUUUCAUUAUAAGAAACCUGAUUUAUUUUUCCUUUUUUUUUCAUCCCCAACAGGAGAAUGACAGUUCAUUAAUGGAAGAGAUACAGUAAAUCCCUAAAAUAGUCUCUGAAAAACUGGAAUCAAUUUCAAUGGAUGCUGAUUUAAGGUCCUAAAAUUUGGAGGUUUUUUCUGCUUAUAAACUAUUUGGCACAUGCAUUGAAGAUGGGGGGGAGGGGGAACCAGAACAAAAAACCUAAUUAUUGUAAGGUGCUUUAUAGCUUUUCAGCUCAAUUAAUGACUUAAAAAAUUAUAUUUUUGGUGAUUAGCAUCUAGUCACAGACUUAAAUAUGGCCUCUUAAGUGUAAAUUGAUUGCUACAGAAAUGUCCAUACUGUAUGUAACAUGUGUUGCACUUCAAAUACAAAUGCUCAUUAUAAUGUCUUCAUUAUCUUUGAAGUUAGUAACAUCAGGUUUGAUCCAGCACCACUGAAACAUAUGGGAACUUUAAUAUUGCUCCCUACAGAAGCAGAAACACACUAACACUUUUGAAUAUAUUUCUAGAUAGAAAGUCUGAAAUACAUUUUGAAUAUAAUGCCACAGAGAAAAAAAGUUGAAGUGGAAAAAGUCAAGUUUAAAUUGUACAGAAUGAAAAAUAAACAGAACAGAGGACACAGAUGCAACAAAGCAGGAUGAAGAUGGAACAAACUGUGCUUCUCAAAUUUCUAUAUUACAGGGAAUUCUGAUGUACAAGAUGAGCAGUACCAAGAGCAAGCAAAACACAGAUUAUAUAAUACUUUAGAAACAAAUACUCUUCUAAUGGCACAGGAAACAUGUACAAAACAAAAUAAAGAGGCUUUCUCUUUCUCCACUUCAUUUUCCUCUCUAAGUUCAUGUGCCCUCUAGAUUUAAAACAAAGAUUUCUAAGAUAUUCAGUAUAAUUUCUUCAACUAGCACAGCUUUCCUUGUACAUCAGACAGUCUCUCCUCACCUGUUUGCUGCCACAUCAUAUUGUGUUUCAUUUUUUCCAUUGUCAGGCUGAGAUAGUCCCUUUCACUGAUGGACUUUAAAUUCACUUGAACCCACAGUCAGCUGCAUCAUCAUCAAGUAACCAGACUCCAUUUGACUGAAUUUUUACUGUGUUAGUACCCAGAGAAUUAGAACCUAGAGAAAAAAUACAGUGUGCCUUAAGUAGUAGAAGUUUUUACAUUCUGUGCUAUUCCACUGAGCCAGAUCUUGAAAACUCUCUCAAGGAUCAGAUUACCCCUUACUCAUAAUAUUUUUAUUAUUAACCUACAAUUCACUUAGCUUUGACUCACAGACUUUAACUUCAGAAUAUAGACUUUGUUGGGCUUAAAAGCAGUGCCAGGAACGCAGAAGUGUCCCAGAUUGUUACACAGCUCUGUAGCAAUGCCUACAACAAGCACUGGCAGAAAGUGAACUACUCAUACCACUGGGAAGGAACAAUUUACACCUGAGCUGAUGGAGCAAAAAGGGAAUUGUUUGGUAUCUGCAAAGUACCCAUACUACACAAUGAUGGAAACACAUUUGAAAAUUUUCAGCUUAAGCAAAACCUAGUGAGCUAAGCAUAUCUGUACCCAGCCUCAGUGAAUUAACUGCUCGUUCUUGCUCUUUUUUCCAGUCACAAACUGCAUGUGAACAGCUGCUGAUUUUGUUAAUUGUUUUUUUGUUAAUUUUCAAAACUUUCUAUAACAAAAGCUACUUUUGGCUUAUUGUAUUAGGUAAGCAUUUGUUUUGAACUUCACACUUGCUUAUAAUUGUCAUGAGUCCAUGCAGUAAACGAGAAGCAGUGGUGAAGGGAGGAAAGAGCCUGACAAAAAAGAGAGGCUUAUGCCAUAUGGAGACAUCAAGGGAUAUAUCUGAUGUGGAUGCUUCCAGCAUUGCUUCUUCCUCCCUGAUUGGCAUUUCUGAAAGCCACCUUAGACUUCUGAAAUUCUCUCAGGUUUUGCUGUGUAGAACAGGGAACUAUUCUCCAGUAAAUGAGACAUCACUGAACACUGUCUUUUCCAAAAUGCCUGGAGUUAAAAACCGAAAAGCAGACCCAGCGGUUCUCCCACAACUGCCAAACAGCCAUUUUAAUAGCAGACUUGGAUGCCUGCAUAGCUUCACUCAAAUUAACAGGACAGGAAGGGGAACACAUGAGAUACGAGUAAGUGGAUAGAGCAGAGAUGGCAAAUCAGGGCAAAAUUAUGAUUGAGGCAAGACAUUCUUGCAAGAAAAUCAGCAGUUUUGUCUUGCCUGAGGCUGGGCAUUUAAAUCCUUGCUCAUUUGGCAUCCAUGCCCUGAUUAAAAGCUAUGAACAACUUGUGAACAGCCAUAAUGCUAUACUGACAAAUGGAUAUGGUCGAGCACCUGAGAAAUUCUGUACAGAAGAGAGUUGAGCAGAGGAAUUCCAAGUGGAAAUGUCCACACAACUAGUCAUUCCCAUCUGAUUUCUGUGGGUAAAUAAACACGCCACAGUUAACAUAGGUCUUGGAAAAAUUAGCUUAGAAGCAUAAAAUAGCACAUUCACAGAUGCAAGGCUCUUUUUGUCCUUCAUGAGCUGAGUAGACAAGUGUGGGAAAUACCUCCCACACUAAUUUUACAUCUCAGUGCUAGUCUCCCACAGAACUGAACAAUACCAAGUUAAGUACCACAGAUGGCUUUUGGUUUAAUUAAUUGACAAAGAACAGUACAAAUUCUGUGGGAUUAUGUGUUCAUGAUGGGCACAACAUUUUGCUCAAAUUGAUUUCUGACGACUGGUUGAAUGCCGAAAGAUGAAAAGUUCAUUUUGCAAAGUAUUGCGUUUACUCAAAAAAUAAAAUUAAAUUAGUAGCCAUGUGCUUGUUAUAUAGUCCUGGCUUCUACAGAGUCUGUAGAUGCUCACUGUUUACCUAUCUGCUACUGUAUUCAUUAAUGCUUACACUAAUGCUAUUGACACAGUUAUUUAAUAGUCACAUUAAAGUACUACUGCUAGGAUUCGAUUCCCAUUACUAAGUGCUGAACAAAUGUAUUGGAAUGACCUGUCUUGCCUUUGUGAAUGGAGCAUAAGAAUGGAGGAGCUGGGAGAUAGUGUCUCCUGCUAAAUUGUGUGCUAAAUUAAGUACAAAACAUUUAGUAGCUCAUCACUGUUGUAUUGCUAGAUUCAUCACGGCUGAUAAUUUUUCAAGGAGUAACUCAACAAACAUCUCCUUUUAAAAAGGAGCAUCUCAGGGUCUUUUGACCACUGUUCAUUUCAACAGAAAUGUGGAUUUGUAGCCCAACGGUUGGAAAUAAUUCCAGCACAUGAAUGCUCUUAUUUUCCUCAUUGUUAGUGUAUAGCUAGUUACAACAACAUCUCCAGAAAUAUCUGUGAUAUAAAUGAUUCCUACAGUACAGAGGAAAUGAAAUCAAGGUAUUAGGAACAGACUUUCACAUUUUUGCAAAGUAAAAUUUUGCUGUCACAUUGGAAUAGGAAAAUUAAAGUUUUGAUAAAAAUUACAUACACCUCAUUUUCUAUAACAGAGGAAUAUAGGAGUCUAAAUGAAAGUAGCCUGACUACUGUGAAAACUAACCUGAAAUCUGAAAGUCUCCUUUUCCUUAGCUUUUAAAAACCACUUUGUUGUUUGCUGUAAUAGUUUUUAUUCAAUCAUGGUCAAAGAAUGAGAGGUAUGAUUUAAUAUUUCUUUGUGUGUGAUGCAACAACACCCUAGGGACAGGGUAAGAACACCAUGGACAGUCUUUCUGUGUCCAGAAGUCAUAAAACAGCUCUAAAUACUGCAGUAGCAAAUAGAAGUCAAUGUCCUGACUGUUUUAAUAGUUGAUUUAAUACUUCUUCCAUUUCAUUCUUUCAAAUUCAGCAGUUUCAGCUUUUCUAAGGAUUAACCUUUUCCUCAGAUGAUCAGCAAACUUUCACUUUUGGCCAGAUGCCUGUAGAACAGGAGGGUCAUCAUGAAUCAACACCACUCUUUAGUGAACUUCUGCACAACUGCAGAAAACUAGAUGAAUUUUCCUUAGCUCCACCCUAGAUGAUACUCACAGCAACAAGGGCAUCUGCAUGCAGUGAAGUCUUCUUCCCUGUGGAAAAUGAGUUUCUCUGCAAAUCUGCCUUUCAAUCAGAAAAUAGAAGAGCAGACAAGCCUAUAAACGUGUUGGGGUUGUCACUUCAGCCAGAGGCAACCACUAACCUCUCCAAGGGCCGGAAGACAUAAUUCGGUAACAAGAGGAGACAUAUAAAUUAUUGCCAAAAUAUAAAGUAAUGUAUUUUGUUUUAUGGUUUUUUGCUUUGCUUUUUGCUUUACAUUUUGUUAGGGUUGCACUCUUUUCUGGGGAGACUCAUUCCUUCACAUUCAACUUCAUCCUGAAGAAAAAAGGAAAAUCUCUUUCUGUGCAACCCCUCAAUGCAGGACUCCUGGACACCAUAUAUCCCUCUGCUCAUUGCAGAAUCAUUGUAUGGAAUAAAUACCAGGAGGUCUAAAUGCCAGAAGUGAGGAACUUUCCCUAAAAAAUGGUGACACUUCACAGCAAGGUAUUAAAGGCUAUGCUGUCAGCUGUCCUAUAGAUGAGCCAGUCAGCAAUACAGGAGCCUGGUGAAAGGGCUAUGGAGUUCCUGUUCAUUAGCUAACUUUUACAUUCUUAUUUCCAAACAGAAACUGCACAUCCAUGUUCCCAAACAGAGUAAGAUCUUCCACCAGGCACAACGUGAAAAGAUGAAGUACUCAGCUAAAGAAUACAUAAGCACAGAGAAGUAGCACAGUUGCUAUCCUAUUUUGAUUAAAUUAUAAGUAUCAAUCAUUAAAACACUAAUGAGGUAUUAAAGCACAAAAGAGGUGUUUGCAAGGAUGCUCAUCAGACUCUCAAAGUAUUAAGGGCCCCUGGAUGUAGGAAAGUAAGGAAGCUGGAAGGUGUUACUUAUUUUUACUGCUUCUAGAAACUAGAUGUUUCUUUCAUUACCCCACAGGUCGUAGAGGAAAAAGUAGUCGUCACUUCCUGGGCAUAAGUCUGAAGGAUCCCAGAAAAGAAUGUGCCAAACUGCAACUCAGUCCAAAUAUUUAUAUAUUCAGGAAAUGUUAAUCUUCAGAUGCACACUACAGGGUCUGUAUGGAUGCUUUCUUUGGCAGCAUUUUGUUGUAUACCACAAUUUCUCAUUAGCAACAGCUACAGUCUAGCUCAGGAAAACUGUAAAUACAUUUUACAUUAGGCAUUUUGUUCCUCAAUUAUUUUCACAUGUUCCUAAUAAAGCUUCCUGCUCUGGUAACUGUUGGACAGGACUGUGUCCAAGAAAAUAGAAUGUGGUCUUAAAUUAUUUUCCAUACAAAAAGAAUUACUAUAUCUAAUUGUAGCUAUAAUGAACAAUGAUGGUUUAAAAAUAAUCAUUUAUGUCAUAUAUUUUGAAUGAUAGUUUGCUGUUAUGAGUGAGACAGUACAGUUUAGACUUUUGAAAAGGUUUUACAAAUACUCCAUUUUUUACUCCACUAAUACUGACAAAUAAAGCUGGUGACUGUUAAUGUCAAUUCUCUUACUUAUUUAUUUAAUUUUUGAAUUUUUACCACAAACAUUUAACCACUUGUGAUUAUGGGCAGAUUGGGAGCCAAUAAGUUUAAAAGUUCCUUCCAUUUUCCACAUUCCUGUCCUAAAUCAUGCUUUUGACCACUUCUAAUCUCUAACAACCUACUGGUUUAAUUACUUCCAUCUCUCAUAUUUUAACUCAGAGACACAUAUUUCAGCUAAAUAAAAUACCUCUGAGGAAUUAUUUCAACAGGGUUGACAUUCUCAUUUUUUCUUGAUCACAGUACCAUGUUAUACGACAUCUUUUCUGCAAGAGGCUUCCCAAUUUGUUUGUUAUGCAGAGAUAAAUAUAGUCAUUAUUAAUACAUUAACAUAAUCUUACUGCUAUGAUCUUCUAUAGGAAUAUCUAUGACCAUCAAUUCAAGACCUACCUGAGUCCAUCAACUAGUCUCUGUUGCUUUCCUGUUUCUUUUUUUUUCUUUUCUCAUGUCAUCUCUCCUAAACCACCUGGAAAAAAAAAAAAAAGAAAACUUUACACCCCUUAUAUGCCGCAUCUCCCACAAUAACUUUGAGGUGAAGAAUAUCUAUAAUAAACCUCAAGAUUCAUUGGUAAUGCUGUAAUGAAAACUAACAAUGAUGAUUUAGAUUAAUAUAUACAGCUGGAAUUUCUUUUCUCAACAUGUGUUAUCAGCAGAUUUGAAAUUUUUAGUUAUCGUAAUCCUUGCCAAUUGGUGCCAAAUAGCACCAAUCUCCAGCUUUUUGGCAUUCAAAGCAAUAACCCUAUUUUCUUUAGUUGAGAAGGCAGACUUUAUAAGCAGCAUAAUUUUAUCAAGUUUGUUGUUAAAUAUUAAUGUGGAAAUUAUGCAAUGUUUAAGCAGUGGGUUUUAAGAUUUAUUUUUCAUUAUGUCUGUUAUAACAAACCUUUAUUAAUAUCCUGUGAAAUAAGAAAUCUACAGCAUCACUAAUAAAACCUUUUAAGUGGUAAUCCUUCAGAAUCUUUCCUUGUAGUGGUAGAGCAUUUGCAGUACUAAACCAAUGAAAUUCACACAUACUGCAAUGGAGUAGUGGAGUGAUUAUUACAACAUUUUUUCCGAAGUACCAUGGGCUUUAGAUGAUUAGAGAGUAGUCUUAUGUUUUAAACUUUUUGCCAACAGUGAGGCUUUAAGUUGAGUUGGAUCAUGGAUAGAUUGCAGUAUAAUGUAUGUUGACAGUUUAAUAACAUGGGUUACUAUCCUUAGUUUGCUUUAUGAUGUAAUACAUCUUUAUAGGAGUCCCCAGAGAUUUCUACUAUGAUUUUCAAGGCAGAGAGAACUCAAUAAACUAAAAGAUUCUGAGCAAGAUUUCUAUUUCCUGUAUACUUUGGAAAUUUUCCUGAAAUAUAAAUAGGUGCUACAGCUUUUUAGAGUUUUUCUGACAUGACUUUUUGUUUUUCUAGUCAUGUAAUAGAUUUUAAAGGUACAUUUCAUACAAAGUUAUAAGUUUUUUAAAAGUUCCCUUCUAUAAUGAAUGGUCUUAUUUUUCAGAUCUCUAGGGGAAUUUUCUUUUCUGUAAAACAUAGUAAUUGAUUUUAUUUUCCUCUCUUUCAAUUCACAUUAUACAUGCAUUAACAUGAUGUAGUUUGCAAAUGUUUCCAAGUAAAGGUCACACAUGUUUGGCCUAAUUAUCUCUCACGUUUUGACAAGCACAUGCAUAGCAGUGAUUAAAUAUCAAGCAACAUAAAUCUAAAUAACGAUAUAAAAUAUAAGAAUUAUUUAAUUCUUCAAAUGCUUUCAUUUAAUUUUUACAGGUAAUCAGGAAAAGAAAAUAAUUAGAAUGGAAGGAAACUAUUGCUUUUAAUUAAAUAUUGGUCCAAGUGAAAAUAGCUUGAAAGGAUAUUCAAUCUACUUUAUUCGAUUGCCAGUUUUCACAAUAUUCUUGCAAUACUAGAUUUCAGAAACUACUGAAAGAAAAUUCUUCCUUUAAUAUAUUUCUGUUCAGAUUGUGUACAAAGUGAUGUUAAUUUUUUAAGUGUAACUGCUUUUCAGAAUUAUGCCUGUAGAUUAUGUUGUUCAAAUGUUUUCAAAUGCUACUGCUAACAUACGAUUUGCUGUGAUUAUGUGUAUAUUCUUCUAAACAAAUAGAUGAUUACCUAAACAAUAUGGUAUUCUUCCCUAUACUAAGUUGGCAGACCACACAGAAGAUUUUUCAGGACACUUUUACAAAAAGUCUUCAGUUUGAACAAUUUGUACAAGCUUGGCUCACCAGUAUUUACGACACAUUCUUUCCACUCACAUCGUAUAAACAAAAAUUUGCCCAUCUUAAUGUUUACAGU